rnacentral:rRNA from 1 species
UUAAUGAGAACUCCGGAUUGGCCUCCUUUGCGCCGCCUCGUGUGGUGCAUUGCGUGGCCGAGAAGUUGUUCAAAUUUGAUCAUUUAGAGGAAGUAAAAGUCGUAACAAGGUUUCCGUAGGUGAACCUGCGGAAGGAUCAUUACUGUACCUUAUGUGUGAAUACACUGUGAACUUGCGCGAGUCGGAACGGUGUGUGUGUUUGCGGCCAGUUCGCGCACACACACAAGUUUACCUUUUCAAACGUACCUAUUGUAGCCAUGAAAACGUGCGAAAGUAUUAAAAAGAGAAAACUGCUGACGGCGGAUCUCUUGGUUCGUGUAUCGAUGAAGAACGUAGCCAGUUGCGAAAAGUAAUGUGAAUUGCAGAAUGAAGUGAAUCAUCGAAUCUUUGAACGCAAAUUGCACUCUUUGGAAUUCCAUUGAGUAUGUCUGUCUGAGUGUCUUGACAAACCUUACACUUUCGGUGUGAACUCGGGCUCCUGGUCUGUCUGUCUCCGGACUGACUCGCGCCUGCAAGACCCUACUCGGCAACGCUUGAGACAACAACGUUUGAUCUUAGACAAGCUCCGUCCGUCCGAGUCCAACCCAUUCAAUCAUGGACCUCAGAUCAGGCAAGACUACCCGCUGAAUUUAAGCAUAUUAAUAAGCGGAGGAAAAGAAACUAACUA